AUACUUACCUGGCAGGGGAGAUACCACAAUCAUGAAGGUGGUUUCCUAGGUCUAGUCUUAUCCAUUGCACUCUGGAAGUGCUGACCCCUGCGAUUUCCCCAAAUUCGGGAAACUCUACUGCAUAAUUUGUGGUAGUGGAGGGACUAUGUUCCUGCC
ensembl:snRNA U1 U1 spliceosomal RNA